AUCUGAGAAUGAGGCCCUUUUCCAUUUGAUAAUAUAUUAACAGAUGUAUAUGAAAGGGAUGGUGACUGGUCUGCAUAUCACAUUUGCUAAAUAAAGAACAUUAUUGACAGGGCAUUACACUCGAAGAGUUUGACAGAUUAUCUUUCAAUAUGAUUUUAAUGAGCCCUCCGUGCCAGCCAUUCACAAGGAUUGGCCGGCAGGGUGAUAUGACUGAUUCAAGGACGAAUAGCUUCUUAUAUAUUCUAGAUAUUCUCCCAAGAUUACAAAAAUUACCAAAGUAUAUUCUUUUGGAAAAUGUUAAAGGUUUUGAAGUGUCUUCUACAAGAGACCUCUUGAUACAAACAAUAGAAAAUUGUGGCUUUCAGUACCAAGAGUUUCUAUUAUCUCCAACCUCUCUUGGCAUUCCAAAUUCAAGGCUACGAUAUUUUCUUAUUGCAAAGCUUCAGUUAGAGCCAUUACCCUUUCAAGCCCCUGGUCAGGUACUGAUGGAGUUCCCCAAAAUUGAAUCUGUACAUCCACAAAAAUAUGCAAUGGAUGUAGAAAAUAAAAUUGAAGAAAAGAACAUUGAACCAAAUAUUAGCUUUGAUAGCAGCAUACAGUGUUCUGGAAAAGAUGCCAUUCUUUUUAAGCUUGAAACUGCAGAAGAAAUUCACAGGAAAAAUCAACAGGAUAGUGAUCUCUCUGUGAAAAUGCUAAAAGAUUUUCUUGAAGAUGACACUGACAUGAACCAGUAUCUUUUGCCACCAAAGUCAUUGCUGCGAUAUGCGCUUCUAUUAGACAUUGUUCAGCCCACUUGUAGAAGGUCCGUGUGCUUUACCAAAGGAUAUGGAAGCUACAUAGAAGGGACAGGGUCUGUGUUACAGACUGCAGAGGAUGUGCAGGUUGAGAAUAUCUACAAAUCCCUUACCAAUUUGUCACAAGAAGAACAGAUAACAAAGCUGUUAAUGCUUAAACUGCGAUAUUUCACUCCUAAAGAAAUAGCAAAUCUCCUUGGAUUUCCUCCAGAGUUCGAUGAGCAAUCAGACAUACUCUUGAAGACAGAAAAGAGAUUAACUAUCUAAUUAAAAUGAAUUCCUCAGCUUUUUUCUAGGGCUUUUUUGUUUUCAAAGGGCAGUAGUCACUUUGGUAAUACUGAACCUUGGUAAGGAGCACAGAGCCCAGAGUCAGACUGAGUGAUUUCAUAUCCCAGCCCCACCUUAACCAUUCCCUUCUUUAGUUUACUUCUCUGUAAAAUGAGGAUAAUCAUAACUCCUGCUUCAUAGAGUUAUUGUGAUAGUUAAAUGAGUUAAUGUUUAUGAAAUUCUUAUAUAAUAUCUGAGACAUAAUGUAAAAUUUGUUUUAGCUUUCAUUUUUAGAAUGAGCCAUUUAUUUACUUUUAUAAUCUUUAUUUCAUAAAUAUUUUCUCAUUUUUAAAAAUUUUAAGUGGGUAAAAUAGAAUUUUUCAAAGCUCUCUGAAUAUAUAUGUAUAAUACUUAGAAAAACAGCCUUUGAAAUUACUGAACCUCCUUUUGAAAUACGUGAUAUGUUUGUGGAGUUGAGCUUACCCUGUUGUCGCCACUGAGCAGCACCGUGACACAACUGUCCUUCCUGUGUGUUUCCAACAUUAUUGACCUUGGGUCCAAAAAUGGGCAUUGUUUGAGCUGUUUGUCUACUGGCAAUGAUGGAUCUGCAUUAAUCCUUCCAAACGCUCUGUCCU
rnacentral:sRNA from 1 species